rnacentral:tRNA from 1 species
GCGGUUGUGGUGAAACUGGUAGACACAACGGACUUAAAAUCCGUCGCUCUUAGAGCAUGAGGGUUCGAUUCCCUUCUUCCGCACCA